rnacentral:misc_RNA from 1 species
GAUGAAGAACGCAGCGAAAUGCGAUAAGUAAUGUGAAUUGCAGAAUUCAGUGAAUCAUCGAAUCUUUGAACGCACAUUGCGCCCGCUAGUAUUCUGGCGGGCAUGCCUGUCCGAGCGUCAUUUCAACCCUCGGGAGCCCCUUUGCGGGGGCUGCCGGUGUUGGGGAUCGCCCGCCGCCAUGGUGGACGUCCCCUAAAACGAUUGGCGGUCUCGCUGUAGCCUCCUCUGCGCAGUAGCACUUGUUCUCGCAGGCGGAGCGCGGCGCGGCCAAGCCGUUAAACCCCCAACUUUUUUACUAGGUUGACCUCGGAUCAGGUAGGAAUACCCGCUGAACUUAAGCAUAUCAAUAAGCGGAGGA